UAAGCGCAGGAAAAGAAACCAACAGGGAUUGCCUCAGUAACGGCGAGUGAAGCGGCAACAGCUCAAAUUUGAAAUCUGGCCUCUCGGGGUCCGAGUUGUAAUUUGUAGAGGAUGUUUCGGGUACCGCCUCGGUUUAAAUUUCUUGGAACAGAAUGUCAAAGAGGGUGAGAAUCCCGUCUUGGACCGGUGGUAGGGCCUAUGUGAAACUCCUUCGACGAGUCGAGUUGUUUGGGAAUGCAGCUCAAAAUGGGUGGUAAAUUUCAUCUAAAGCUAAAUAUUGGCCAGAGACCGAUAGCGCACAAGUAGAGUGAUCGAAAGAUGAAAAGCACUUUGAAAAGAGAGUUAAACAGUAUGUGAAAUUGUUGAAAGGGAAGCGCUUGCAACCAGACUUGAGCGCGGCGGUUCCCCCUUGCUUCUGCUUGGGUUACUCCGCCGUGUCCAGGCCAACAUCGGUUCUGGGGGUCGGUCAAAGGCUCUGGGAAUGUAUCUACCCACGGGUAGACUUAUAGACCAGGGUGUCAUGCGACCUCCCGGGACCGAGGAACGCGCUUCGGCUCGGAUGUUGGCGUAAUGGUUGUCAGCGACCCGUCUUGAAACACGGACCAAGGAGUCUAACAUCUAUGCGAGUGUUUGGGUGUCAAACCCGGAACGCGGAAUGAAAGUGAACGGAGGUAGGAAGCUUCGGCUGCACUAUCGACCGAUCCUGAAGUUUACGGAUGGAUUUGAGUAAGAGCAUAGCUGUUGGGACCCGAAAGAUGGUGAACUAUGCCUGAAUAGGGUGAAGCCAGAGGAAACUCUGGUGGAGGCUCGCAGCGGUUCUGACGUGCAAAUCGAUCGUCAAAUUUAGGUAUAGGGGCGAAAGACUAAUCGAACCAUCUGGUAGCUGGUUCCUGC
rnacentral:rRNA from 1 species